rnacentral:rRNA from 1 species
AUUGAACGCUGGCGGCAGGCCUAACACAUGCAAGUCGAACGGUAACAGGAAACAGCUUGCUGUUUCGCUGACGAGUGGCGGACGGGUGAGUAAUGUCUGGGAAACUGCCUGAUGGAGGGGGAUAACUACUGGAAACGGUAGCUAAUACCGCAUAACGUCGCAAGACCAAAGAGGGGGACCUUCGGGCCUCUUGCCAUCAGAUGUGCCCAGAUGGGAUUAGCUAGUAGGUGGGGUAACGGCUCACCUAGGCGACGAUCCCUAGCUGGUCUGAGAGGAUGACCAGCCACACUGGAACUGAGACACGGUCCAGACUCCUACGGUAGGCAGCAGUGGGGAAUAUUGCACAAUGGGCGCAAGCCUGAUGCAGCCAUGCCGCGUGUAUGAAGAAGGCCUUCGGGUUGUAAAGUACUUUCAGCGGGGAGGAAGGGAGUAAAGUUAAUACCUUUGCUCAUUGACGUUACCCGCAGAAGAAGCACCGGCUAACUCCGUG